ACUUAUUUGGAUACAAGGGUUUCUUUCUCUUUUCUGGUAAACCUUAGAAACCCUGCACUGUGCGCCGCCGCCUCUGUUUCUGUUUACAUAUCUAUCAAAUCUCUCUGAUCUGAUGAUGUAGCCAGACACACUAACAAACGCUCUGCUAAGCUGUGCUAUAUACUCCACUUUCAUCGCUAGGCUACCAAACAUGUGCACGAAGAUUCGGGGCAGUCCUCCAAUGGAUCAGGGAUCUGAUCUCGUGGAAGUGUUCGAUGAGGUUAACUUGCUUUUUAUCUCUCGGUCAACCUCUCCAUCAAAUGUGAUUUCCUUGAUUAAUUGUGUCACAAGAUCUCUGUCUUAACGGUGACAUUGAUCUAUUGUUGCACAUAAUAAGUAUUAGCAUAAAAGUCAUAGCAUUAGUAUAAAAUUGUUAGAUAAUUUUGCUAUUGACUAUUUUGAGGCUCACGCUUUUCAGAUGAGAUAAAAUCUAAAAGCUUAUUAUUAUUUUUUAUUAUCCACGAGUUUGAAUCAUAAGAUUAGUUCUAUUAGAUAGUUCAUACAGUUGCAUGAGUUUAAUUUCCAUCAUGAUGUAUUGCAAUUCAUCGUUGUCCUCGGUACUAAAGCAAUGUUAGUGACCAAAUGGAUGUUAAGUUUGAGUUUGUAAUGCUUACAUUGUGUAAGCCGUUUGUAAUAUGUUUCUAAGAUUCUCUUAUCCUAAGAAAUAUCAUGGUAGUUAGAUAGA